rnacentral:rRNA from 1 species
AGUGAACGCUGGCGGUAGGCCUAACACAUGCAAGUCGAACGGCAGCACAGUAAGAGCUUGCUCUUACGGGUGGCGAGUGGCGGACGGGUGAGGAAUACAUCGGAAUCUACUUUUUCGUGGGGGAUAACGUAGGGAAACUUACGCUAAUACCGCAUACGACCUACGGGUGAAAGCAGGGGAUCUUCGGACCUUGCGCGAUUGAAUGAGCCGAUGUCGGAUUAGCUAGUUGGCGGGGUAAAGGCCCACCAAGGCGACGAUACGUAGCUGGUCUGAGAGGAUGAUCAGCCACACUGGAACUGAGACACGGUCCAGACUCCCACGGGAGGCAGCAGUGGGGAAUAUUGGACAAUGGGCGCAAGCCUGAUCCAGCCAUACCGCGUGGGUGAAGAAGGCCUUCGGGUUGUAAAGCCCUUUUGUUGGGAAAGAAAAGCAGCAGGUUAAUACCCCGCUGUUCUGACGGUACCCAAAGAAUAAGCACCGGCUAACUUCGUG